CUCCGCCCCGCCCAAGGCCCCGCCCACCGCGCUGACGCCUGCCCCACUGCGGCCGCCUGCGAGGUAAGCACGCGCUUCUCGGCCUCUAAACUUCCAAACAGGCCCCUCCACACAGCCCCUCAGGGUGCUGAAGGAGUUACCGUAAUCAGACUCGUUAUCAGAAACAUUUUUUUUAAAAGCUCAUGAACGCUCCAAGGCCUCACCCACAGUUAAUCCAACUUUAAUGGCCUUAUCUUACCAGCUCCGGCCUGGCCUCCGAGUCCAGCCUCCAUCAUUUCCGGGGGAGGGCGGGACUUCCUGUCUGGGGAGGAGCCAAUUGGGAACGGGUUCUGCUGCCUGUGGACCCGAUUGGCUGAAUGCUUUUCAAAGUCCCAGAGAAAGCACAAUGUUUGAGUCCAAAUUGUUCAUAGAGAUCUGAAGGAGAAAAUUUGCCCUUGAGUCACCAUAGCCUUCGCAAAGGCCAGUGACCCUACUGGGGUUUGCUUGGGAAGCUCUUGACUGUUGGUCCUCAGAAGGGAUCACGGACACAGGUUUGCCGAGGAAUCUCCAUAUCCGUGAAUAUUGGUAUCUCUCCCAACUCCAUUUUGACUCUAUCUUACAUCUUCUUGCUUGGUAAGCUGGCUUUUUCCUGACUUCUACCCUUGACUUUCUUCUGGGUCCAGCGGAGACUCUGGGUCCUGGUUUGGGUCCAUCCUUGACCGUCUCCUCAGGUCUCUCUGGUUUUGCUGCUUUCCCUAGUGGUUGACAACCAAGUUCAUGGUUUUCUAGGGCACCCGAGUUGCCUCUCUAGAUAGCUUUUUGUUGCCCUCACCUAACACAACUCCAUAGUUAUCAAAGGCACCUUACUGGGACCUGCUUCUGAGAUCACCACUUCAGGGUGUGACAAGUGAUGUCAUCACUUUCAAUUUCUCAAGCACUUGAAUUAACUUGUCACCUUUAUUCCCCUUCUCUCACUCUAGGACAACCCUCAAAUCCAUUCAAUCCUAAAUUACUGUAGCUUUGCAAAGCUACAUACAUGCAUCUUUUCUCUUAUUAUUUAUACCAGUAGAAUAAUAAUGUCACUAACGACAAUAACAACUGCUAACAUUUGUCGAGAACCUAUGGUGUGCUAUCCAUUCUGGCAAGAC
rnacentral:lncRNA from 1 species